UGACUGUACAAAGGUAGCAUAAUCAAUAGUCUCUUAAUUGGUGACUUGAAUGAAAGAUUGGAUGAAAUAUAUACUGUCUCUUUAAUAAUAAUAGAAUUUAAUCUUUUAAUUAAAAAGUUAAAAUAAAUUUAAAAGACGAGAAGACCCCAUAGAGUUUUAUAUAUUUGUUAAUUAAUAUUAUUUAUAAAUUAAUAAAAUUAAAAUUAAUUUGAUAUAUUAUAUUGGGGUGAUAAAAAAAUUUAUUUAACUUUUUUUUUUAAAUUAACAUAAAUAAGUGACUAAUAAUGAUCCAAAAUUUUUGAUUAUAAGAUAAAAUUACCUUGGGGAUAACAGCGUAAUUUUUUUUUUUAGUUCGAAUAAAAAAAAAAGUUUGCGACCUCGAUGUUGGAUUAAGAUAAAAUUUAAAUGCAAAAGUUUAAAAUUUUGAUCUGUUCGAUCAUUAAAAUCUU
rnacentral:rRNA from 1 species